CGAAGGAUGCAAGCGUUAUCCGGAUUCAUUGGGUUUAAAGGGUGCGUAGGCGGACUGAUAAGUCAGUGGUGAAAUCUCUUUGCUUAACAAAGAAACUGCCAUUGAUACUGUCGGUCUAGAGUAUAGAUGACGUUGGCGGAAUAUGACAUGUAGUGGUGAAAUACUUAGAUAUGUCAUAGAACACCGAUUGCGAAGGCAGCUAACGAAACUAUAACUGACGCUGAGGCACGAAAGUGCGGGGAUCAAACAGGAUUAGAUACCCUGGUAGUCCGCACCGUAAACGAUGAUUACUCGUUGUUGGCGAUAUGACAGUCAGCGACCAAGCGAAAGCGAUAAGUAAUCCACCUGGGGAGUACGCCGGCAACGGUG
rnacentral:rRNA from 1 species